UAUUUAAAUAUAUUUAAUUAAUUUGAUUAUUUUUAAUUUAUAUUUUUUAUAAAAUUAUUUUAUGAAUUUAAAGUUUUAGUAUUAAGUAAAAAAUAAUUUUUAGUUUUAUAGUUUAAUAGUAUUGUAAAAGAAAUUUAUUUAUAUUAAUUAAAGAAUUUUGUUAGUACCUUUUGUAUCAGGGUUAAUUAAAAUUUUUAAUUUAUUUUAAUUUCUCGAAAUUUAUAGAGUUAAUUUUAUUAUUAAGUUAUUAUGGUAAAAAUAUUUAUAAAAUAAUUUUAGUUUUGAAAUUUAAUUCGUUAUAUUAUAUCUAGUUAUUUAAGAUUUAAAUUUAAUUUAAAAUUUUAAAAGUUAAUUUAAUUUUUUUUAUUAAUAUUUUAAAUUUAUAUUAUUUUAGGGAUAAGCUUGAAAUUUUUAUAUAAUAAAUAUUUGAAUUAAUAAUUUAUAGGAAUAGAAAUUUUUAUUUUAAGUUUGUAAAAAUUUGUUAUUUAUUUAAUUUUAAUUUAUUAUAAUUUAUUUAUUAUUUUUAUUAAAUUUUAUAAAUUAAUUUAUUAUUUAUAGUAAUAAUGAUUAAAUUAGUAUAAUAUUUAUUUAUGUAUUAUGAAUUAGGCAAAUUUUAUUUUUAUCUGUUUAACAAAAACAUUGUAUUAAGUUUUAUUUAAUAUAGGAUCUGCUCAAUGAUUUAUUAAAUAGCUGCAGUAUUUUGACUGUGCAAAGGUAGCAUAAUAAUUAGUCUUUUAAUUGGGGACUUGUAUGAAAGAUUUGAUAAGAAAUAAUCUUUAUUAUAUAUAUAAUUAGAAUUUUAUUUUUAAGUAAAAAAGCUUAAAUAUUUUAAAGGGACGAUAAGACCCUAUAAAACUUUAUAUUUAAUAAUUUUUAAUUUUUUGGAUUUAUAUUUAUAUAUAAAUAUAUAUUUAGAUUUUAUUAAAUAUUUUAUUGGGGUGAUAAAAAAAAAUUAUAAACUUUUUUUAAAUUUUAACAUUAUUUAAUGAUAAUUUGAAUUAAAAUUUUUAAUUAAAGGAAAAAGUUACUUUAGGGAUAACAGCGUAAUUAAUUUUUUAAGUUCAAAUUUAAAAAUUAGU
rnacentral:rRNA from 1 species